UACGUAGGGUGCAAGCGUUGUCCGGAAUUAUUGGGCGUAAAGAGCUCGUAGGCGGUUCGUCGCGUCGGCUGUGAAAACCCGGAGCUCAACUCCGGGCCUGCAGUCGAUACGGGCGGACUUGAGUGUUGCAGGGGAGACUGGAAUUCCUGGUGUAGCGGUGAAAUGCGCAGAUAUCAGGAGGAACACCGGUGGCGAAGGCGGGUCUCUGGGCAACUACUGACGCUGAGGAGCGAAAGCGUGGGGAGCGAACAGG
rnacentral:rRNA from 2 species